AUUCCUGGAUAUUGACGAAGACUGAUGGCGGGUUAUUAGGAGCUUUCGAGAGCAAAAUCCUUCAAAGAUAUGUGGGUCAAUUUGCGUUAGUGAUGCACACCGAACCACGAGCUGUACACCGACAUCGAUGUAGUGAACCGCAUUAAAAUUCCGCGGCUUCGCUGGCUAGGUCACGUUGAGCGAAUGGAUAAUAACGCUCCAGCAAAGAAGAUCCUCUGUUCGAUGUGUACUGGUAGAACUCGCAAAAAGGGAUGUCCUCAUCUACAUUGGAAAGACCAAGUCGACGGCAAUCUGGUCGCCCUUGGCGUUUUUAACUGUCGUCAAUGCAGAGGUGAUUGGCGCAAUAGUUUGGCAGCAGCCAAGACCGACUAUCGGUACCAGGUGCCAGCUAAGUAAGUAGUUAUUCGAUGAUUAUCCAAUCCGAUGUCCUGUAUUAUUUCGACGAUUUCUGGUGUUGUUGGUGUUUUUGGACGUUCCUGACGUGGAUGGUCUUGAAGGCUGGUACGACCACGUUUAAACGCAGCAACCCAUCCUUCUACUGUACUAAUUGAUGGCUAAAGAUAAUCCCAUACAGAGAGAGACAAAGCGACGUUUUUAGAAGACCUCCCGGAGAUUGAUCACUAUUUUAAAGAAAACCAAAAAUAUCAAAAUGAUGAUGAUUAUGAUGAUGAAUAAUU